GACAGAGGGGGCAAGCGUUGCUCGGAAUUACUGGGCGUAAAGGGCGCGUAGGCGGGAUGGCAAGUCGGUCGUGAAAUCCCUCGGCUCAACUGAGGAACGUCGAUCGAUACUGCCGUUCUUGAGGGAUGCAGAGGAGACUGGAAUUCCCGGUGUAGCGGUGAAAUGUGUAGAGAUCGGGAGGAACACCGGUGGCGAAGGCGGGUCUCUGGGCAUCUCCUGACGCUGAGGCGCGAAAGCGUGGGGAGCAAACGGG
rnacentral:rRNA from 1 species